rnacentral:rRNA from 1 species
UACGUAGGGGGCAAGCGUUGUCCGGAUUUAUUGGGCGUAAAGAGCUCGUAGGCGGUUCGACAAGUCGGAUGUGAAAUCUCCACGCUCAACGUGGAGGGGCCAUUCGAAACUGUCGUGACUUGAGUCCGGUAGGGGAGUGUGGAAUUCCCGGUGUAGCGGUGAAAUGCGUAGAUAUCUGGAGGAACACCGGUGGCGAAGGCGGCGUUCUGGACUGUCUCUGACACUGAAGAACGAAAGCCAGGGGAGCAAACGGG